UCGGGUGUGGUGUAUGGCACAUCCUCCCUCCCACUUGUCAAUGCCCUGUGGAGUUUGAUGGGAGAAACCCAGGUUCGAUUCCUGGCGCCCGAG